rnacentral:rRNA from 1 species
UACAGAGGUGGCAAGCGUUGUUCGGAAUUACUGGGCGUAAAGGGCGCGUAGGCGGUCUUGUAAGUCUUGUGUGAAAUCCCUCGGCUUAACUGAGGAACUGCACGGGAUACUGCGAGACUUGAGUUCGGGAGAGGGAAGCGGAAUUCCGGGUGUAGCGGUGAAAUGCGUAGAUAUUCGGAAGAACACCGGUGGCGAAGGCGACCUUCUGGGCCGCAACAGACGCUGAGGCACGAAAGCCUGGGGAGCGAACGGG